GAGCGCCCGCUAGAGGCUGGAGCUUCCGGGCCCUGGAAAGGGGUCCCCGCGCGCCCCGGGUCGGAGGCAGACCCCUGGGUUUGGGGGACAUGGGCAUUUGGGGCGCCUGAACCCAAGACCUCUGGAUGAGCUGCCCCGUUCAGACCAUGGAUCCUGAGGUGACCUUGCUGCUGCAGUGCCCUGGCGGGGGCCUGCCCCAGGAACAGAUACAGGCCGAGCUGAGCCCCGCCCAUGACCGUCGCCCACUGCCAGGUGGGGACGAGGCCAUCACUGCCAUCUGGGAGACCCGGCUAAAGGCCCAACCCUGGCUCUUCGACGCCCCCAAGUUCCGCCUGCACUCAGCCACCCUGGCGCCUAUUGGCUCUCGGGGGCCACAGCUGCUCCUGCGCCUGGGCCUUACUUCCUACCGAGACUUCCUGGGCACCAACUGGUCCAGCUCAGCUGCCUGGCUGCGACAGCAGGGGGCCACCGACUGGGGUGACACGCAGGCCUAUCUGGCGGACCCACUGGGGGUGGGCGCUGCACUAGCCACGGCCGAUGACUUCCUUGUCUUCCUGCACCGCUCCCGGCAGGUGGCUGAGGCCCCUGGGCUGGUGGACGUACCUGGUGGGCACCCUGAGCCUCAGGUGAGAUUCCAGGCUGGGCACAAAGACCCAGACAGCUCAAGGGAGCUGCAGCUCUCCACCCUCCCAAUCCUCCCAGCUUUGGUUUCCUCAUCCCUUAAAGGGAAAAUUGGCCUGGUAUUUCUCUGAAAGUUUGCUCAGGGCAGUCCACCUGCCUCCCCACUGACCCCUGCCCCAGUCCUGUGAGAAACUAGAAAACACGGGAGGAAAGAUUGGGCACAGGAAGAAGAUGCCCUACUCCACCCCUGCCCCCUGUGUAUCUCCUUUGAAGCUGGACCUCUGGUUGUCUGUCAGGGAAAGGACACCAGACUCAGGAUCACUAACUCUCUUACACUGUGCCACAUCAGACCCUCAAGGCCAGCA
rnacentral:sRNA from 1 species